rnacentral:misc_RNA from 1 species
GCAGAAGAAGAAGAAGUGGAGCAAGGGAAAGCAAAAGGAAAAGGUGAACAACAUGGUGUUGUUUGACAAGUCUACAUACGAUAAGCUACUCUCUGAAGCUCCUAAGUAUAAGCUUAUCACUCCUUCUGUCCUCUCCGAUCGUCUCAGGAUUAGUGGAUCACUUGCUAGGAAGGCAAUUAGAGAUUUGAUGGCUAGAGGUUCAAUCAGGAUGGUAUCUGCUCAUGCAAGCCAGCAGAUCUACACCAGGGCUACCAACACUUAAUAUGCGUUAAUUCAUUUGUUUACCUAGCUCUUGCAGGGGCUACUACUUGUUUUAGAAAUUUCUAAGCUUAUUUUGGAAAAUAUCAGAACAUAUUAGCUAAACAGCUAUUUUGAGCAAUAGUUUUGAUCGCAGUUGCUGUUUUGACUAUGCUGGCUAUUUAAUUGAGUUAUUUA